UCGAUACACGUAUUGUUUUUCCUAGAUGUGACUUGUUUGUUGAAUUAAGCGUAGAAUUUUUACUUUUCUUUAGAAAAACCAUCAUCUUCUAUUUCCAUUACAUCGAGUCCAUCAACGACACCGACCACCAUUCGAACAUCUUCGCCUAGCACCACAGCGCCCUCAGUAGGAGGCACUACCCAAAAACCUGAAAGAAUCAUCCCAUCUGCGUCUUCCUCAACGGAAAAAAUUGGUAACGAUGAGAACAAUUGGCUUACCUGGUUAAUCAUUUCGGUUGUGUUGGUGAUUAUCGUAGCACUGGCUGUCAUGGUGCUUUUCAUUUGUCGAAAAAAAUAUAAUGCCCGGGAAAAAAGGGACUGUCAAGGCUCACAGUAUCUCUUCGACAACGUUCCUGUGGCGCAAGUUUAAAUGUCUUCAAACGUAAAACGAAAAAACUGCAAA